rnacentral:rRNA from 1 species
AUUGAACGCUGGCGGCAUGCUUUACACAUGCGAGUCGAGCGGUAACAGGCCUUCGGGUGCUGACGAGUGGCGGACGGGUGAGUAAUGCAUCGGAACGUACCCAGAGGUGGGGGAUAACGCAGCGAAAGCUGUGCUAAUACCGCAUGUGAUCUGAGGAUGAAAGCGGGGGACCGAGCAGCAAUGUUUGGCCUCGCGCCUUUGGAGCGGCCGAUGUCGGAUUAGCUAGUUGGUGGGGUAAAGGCCUACCAAGGCGACGAUCCGUAGCUGGUCUGAGAGGACGACCAGCCACACUGGGACUGAGACACGGCCCAGACUCCUACGGGAGGCAGCAGUGGGGAAUUUUGGACAAUGGGCGCAAGCCUGAUCCAGCAAUGCCGCGUGCGGGAAGAAGGCCUUCGGGUUGUAAACCGCUUUUGGCAGGAACGAAACGGUGUCCGCUAAUACCGGGCGCUAAUGACGGUACCUGCAGAAUAAGCACCGGCUAACUACGUG